rnacentral:rRNA from 1 species
CCUACGGGCGGCAGCAGUGAGGAAUAGUGGUCAAUGGGCGCGAGCCUGAACCAGCCAAGUAGCGUGAAGGAUGACUGCCCUACGGGUUGUAAACUUCUUUUAUAAAGGAAUAAAGUGAGGCACGUGUGCCUUUUUGUAUGUACUUUAUGACUAAGUAUCGGCUAACUCCGUGCCAGCCGCCGCGGUAAUACGGAGGAGCCGAGCGUUAUCCGGAUUUAUUGGGUUUAAAGGGAGCGUAGAUGGGUUGUUAAGUCAGUGGGGAAAGUUUGCGGCUCAACCGUAAAAUUGCAAUUGAUACUGGCAGUCUUGAGUACAGUUGAGGUAGGCGGAAUUCGUGGUGUAGCGGUGAAAUGCUUAGAUAUCACGAAGAACUCCGAUUGCGAAGGCAGCUUACUAAACUGCCACUGACAUUGAUGCUCGAAAGUGUGGGUAUCAAACAGGAUUAGAUACCCCAGUAGUC